UGUGUUACAGGAGAUGGCAUUCCUCCUUAUAACCGCCCAAACCGGCUGAUGAUGCCUACCAAACU
rfam:Candidimonas bauzanensis strain CGMCC 1.10190 genome assembly, contig: Ga0070552_108